rnacentral:rRNA from 1 species
UGGGGAAUUUUCCGCAAUGGGCGCAAGCCUGACGGAGCAAUACCGCGUGAGGGAGGAAGGCUUUUGGGUUGUAAACCUCUUUUCUCAAGGAAGAAGCACUGACGGUACUUGAGGAAUCAGCAUCGGCUAACUCCGUGCCAGCAGCCGCGGUAUUACGGAGGAUGCAAGCGUUAUACGGAAUUAUUGGGCGUAAAGCGUCCGCAGGUGGUGCCUCAAGUCUGCUGUCUAAGACCGAAGCUCAACUUCGGGCAGGCAGUGGAAACUGAAGCACUAGAGUACGGUAGGGGUAGAGGGAAUUUCCAGUGUAGGGGUGACAUGCGUAGAGAUUGGAAAGAACACCAGUGGCGAAGGCGCUCUACUGGACCGUAACUGACACUCAGGGACGAAAGCGAGUGGAGCGAAAGGGAUUAGAUACCCCCGUAGUCG